rnacentral:rRNA from 1 species
GACGAACGCUGGCGGCGUGCCUAACACAUGCAAGUCGAACGGAGAGUUUAGAAACGAGAAUUUCGGUUCAAGUUUUUAAAUUUCUUAGUGGCGGACGGGUGAGUAACGCGUGAGCAAUCUGCCUUUCAGAGGGGGAUAACAUUGGGAAACCGGUGCUAAUACCGCAUGAUGUGCGAGGGUCGCAUGACUCUUGUACCAAAGGAGCAAUCCGCUGAAAGAUGAGCUCGCGUCUGAUUAGCUAGUUGGUGAGGUAACGGCCCACCAAGUCGACGAUCAGUAGCCGGACUGAGAGGUUGAACGGCCACAUUGGGACUGAGACACGGCCCAGACUCCUACGGGAGGCAGCAGUGGGGGAUAUUGCACAAUGGAGGAAACUCUGAUGCAGCAACGCCGCGUGAGGGAAGAAGGUCUUCGGAUUGUAAACCUUUGCUUUUGGUGACGAAUAAUGACGGUAGCCAAAGAGGAAGCCACGGCUAACUACGUGCCAGCAGCCGACGG